rnacentral:rRNA from 1 species
CAGUCGCCGCGGGAAUACGUAGGUGGCAAGCGUUGUCCGGAAUUAUUGGGCGUAAAGGGCUCGCAGGCGGUUUCUUAAGUCUGAUGUGAAAGCCCCCGGCCCAACCGGGGAGGGUCAUUGGAAACUGGGAAACUUGAGUGCAGAAGAGGAGAGUGGAAUUCCACGUGUAGCGGUGAAAUGCGUAGAGAUGUGGAGGAACACCAGUGGCGAAGGCGACUUUCUGGACGAAAACUGACGCUGAGGCGCGAAAGCCAGGGGAGCGAACGGGAUUAGAUACCCGUGUAGUCCCUGUCUCUUAUAA